UACGUAGGGUGCAAGCGUUGUCCGGAAUUAUUGGGCGUAAAGAGCUCGUAGGCGGUCUGUCGCGUCGGCUGUGAAAACUCGGGGCUCAACCCCGAGCCUGCAGUCGAUACGGGCAGACUAGAGUGCGGAAGGGGCAACUGGAAUUCUUGGUGUAGCGGUGAAAUGCGUAGAUAUCAGGAGGAACACCAAUAGCGAAGGCAGCUCGCUGGGACGUUACUGACACUGAGGCGCGAAAGCGUGGGGAGCGAACAGG
rnacentral:rRNA from 1 species